AUUUUGAGUUUCAUGAUUUUACAUCCUAGGCUUCUAUAAUAGGCUAUCAGAGGAGAAUGAAAUCAUUAAAGGAGAAGCAGAGUAGAUGAAACAAUUAAAAAAGUGAAAGGAAGAACGUUAUAGUAACAUUACAACAAUUAGCUAAAGCAUACCUGCACCACUGGAGAAAAUUGAGACAGAAUCUCGCUGUGCUGCCUAGGCUGGCCUUGAACUCCUGGACUUAAGCGAUAGAUCCUCCCUACACCUCAGCCUCCUAAGUAUUUGGGACUACAGUUUUUAAACAAAGUAACCCAUGCUUAUUAUACAAACUUAAACAAUUCUGAAUUACCAUGUAAAAAAUUAAUAAAAUCCUAUUUUUUCCUUCAAUUCCAUACUUCUAGAGGUAACUAAUGUUAAAAUUGAUGUGUGCUCUUCAACAUCUAUCUUGUGUCCUUCUAGGAAUGAAUAUAUACAGACACAAUUCAUGAAUAUGUAUAUAUUUGAAUAUGUAUAAACAUUAAUAUGUUGAAGCAUAUGCACACACAUAUAUGCAUAAAUAUAUAUGCAUACACACACAAAUCUUUUUCAAUUCCUUUCUUCUGUAGUUCAUUUAUUCCUUUGUCCCUUCCUUCCUUACUGUUUUUCUUCCUUCUUUCCUUCAAGAUUCAUAAUAUACUCAUAAUGGGUUCUUUUGCUUAACAAUAUAUUAUCGACAUUCCGUGAAAUUAGUAGUUUGUAAUCUUGGCUGCACAUUGGAAUCUUCAAGGAGCAUUAAUAGUGCUGAUAGGUCUAAUUCUCAGAGAUUCUGAAUUGUUUGCCAUGAGGCUUGGGUAUCAAAAUUUGUAAAACUUCCUUAAGUGGUUCAAAUGUGCAGCUACAUUCAGUACCACUGCCUUAGGUUAUACAUAUAGAUCCAACUCAUCAUUAUUACUAUUAAUAACUCAAAGUAUUCCAUAUUGUGGCUGUACCAAAAGUUAUUUAUCUAGUCCUCUACUGAUAAACAUGUAGUUUGUUUCCAGUAUGCUACUCUACUAAAAAGUCUUUAAACAUGUAUCUUUAGUUCUUUAGUUACUGGUUCCUUUAUUUCUAAAGAAUACGGUCUGAUAAGUGAAGUUCCUGGGUUUAGAGGUAUGAGCAUUUAAAAUUUUAAUUGGCACUGCUAGAUUAUUUUCUCAAAAGAUCUCAAUAAUAAUACAUACUUCUAGUAGCGGUGUUAAGAGUACUCCAUUCCUUAUAGCUUUGUUAAUCUGAUGAAUGGCUAAAAGCAUUCUUUUUAAUGUGUUACUAAUUGAGCAUAUUUUUAUUCAUACUUAUUCGUUAUUUGCACUUCUUUC